rnacentral:rRNA from 1 species
GCCUNAAAUCAGGUAAGACUACCCGCUGAACUUAAGCAUAUCAAUAAGCGGAGGA